rnacentral:rRNA from 1 species
UGGAGGUAGGUCUGUUCGACCUUUAAAUUUUUACAUGAUUUGAGUUCAAACCGGCGUGNNGGUUGGUUUCUAUCUUUUAAGAAAAUAAAAAUUACAUUUAGUACGAAAGGAUUUAGUAAUUAAAAUAAUUUUUAAGUAUAGAUUAACAU